UACGUAGGGGGCAAGCGUUGUCCGGAAUCAUUGGGCGUAAAGAGCGUGUAGGCGGCUCGGUAAGUCCGCUGUGAAAGUCCAGGGCUCAACCCUGGAAUGCCGGUGGAAACUGUCGAGCUAGAGUCCGGAAGAGGCGAGCGGAAUUCCUGGUGUAGCGGUGAAAUGCGCAGAUAUCAGGAGGAACACCAAUGGCGAAGGCAGCUCGCUGGGACGGUACUGACGCUGAGACGCGAAAGCGUGGGGAGCAAACAGG
rnacentral:rRNA from 1 species